GUCAAAAAGAUAGUGUCUCUUGUGAGAUCAGCGUGCAGCUUCCCUGGCCUUGAAGCCCAAGGCACAGAGGUGCUAGGCAGCAAAGGCAUUCAUGAGCUUCGGAGCAGCACCAGUGCCCUGCACCAUGCCCUAGAGGAGUCGGCUUCCCUCCUCACCAUGUUCUGGAGAGCGGCCCUGCCAAGCACCCACAUCCCUGUGCUGCCUGGCAAAGUGGGAGAAUCAACAGAAAGGGAACUUCUGGAACUGAGAACCAAAGUAUCCAAACAGGAGCGGCUCCUUCAGAGCACAACUGAGCAUCUGAAGACCGCCAACCAGCAGAAGGAGAGCAUGGAGCAGUUCAUCGUCAGCCAGCUAACCAGAACACAUGAUGUUUUAAAGAAGGCAAGGACUAACUUAGAGGUGAAAUCCCUAAGGGCUCUGCCGUGUACUCCAGCCUUGUGACCCUUGCCUUCCAGGAACCAUGCAAGAAGCGCAGCCACCAGAAGUCCUUAAAACAGCAGGAAAGAACUACAAGUUUAUAGGACAUGGAUUUCAGUGCCCUCAUCUGGCCAACCAUCUUCAGCUGCCAAUGCCCAAGUGUCUUCCUGGUACUACACAUGAAGAUGUCCCACUCUCCACUGCUCAAGGAGAGAGUGCCUGACCUGAGCUGGGCCCAUCAGAUCCAGUACUUACCUGGAAUAGGAAAACAAUGGGGAGGGUGACCAAAGAUUACAAAAAUCUCUGAAGCUUAUCUACUUGAGAGAGACUCCCUGAAGAUACUGGCCUGUCAUUCCUGCUAUGUAUAUCCAAUGUGACUGAACUCUGAAUAAAAUAUACAAGUUAUAA
rnacentral:sRNA from 1 species